rnacentral:lncRNA from 1 species
CUAAAACUUAAAGUAUAAUAAAAUAAAUAAAUAAAAAAAUAACAAUAAAAAAGAAAAAAGAACAGAAGAGGAAAAAAAAUUCAUGUACACUGAAUACAACUUUGCAAUAAAAUUACCAAAAACAAAAAAGGAAAAGGAAACAAAAUGCCACCCCCUGAUGUUCAGCCAUCUGUCUUUGCACCCGCAAUAACUUUACUUUCCAUGUCCAAAGAAGUAUAAAGAUGUAAAAUUAGGUAUUUAAAGAAAUAAAAUGAAGAUCCUCUGUGUCAUCAGAAUGGUAACAGAUCUUUGUUUUUAGGCUUUUCUGAGGAAUGUUGUGAUGGGGAUGUCAGCAGAAAGAGGUGUCUCUUGUGUCCUGGUAGGAACACCAGAAAUGUGUACCCAAGAAUGUCAGAUACCAGAGGUGAAGAGUAACCCAGAUGGAGGCAGGGAGGGAGGGGGCAAGAGAGAAGAGGGGAGGAGUAUUCAGCAUGACUUGCAUAAACCAUGCCAUCUAUUGCUAGGGAAAAAUUUUUCAAAGUGCUUUUCGAAUGGAAUGGUUUAGAACAAUGCUAACCUGUGGAGCAGACAUGCCAAUCAGCACCAAAAAUUAGUUUUUCCUAAGAAGGAAUGCCAAGGUCACGUUACCCUUUUUAAUACAAUAAGAGAAAAGAUUCCAUUCUGGAUGCCACCCCAGGUCUCCAUCUGCCUCCAUUUCAUGUGAGUUUUGGUUACAGCCCAUAGCUACAUUUCCCCCAUUAGAUAGCAAUACUGUGGUGUCCGCAAUGAACUGCAUUUGGAAGAAGCAAGAUGUCACAGGACAAGAAAUCCAGAAGCCAAUCACCUGUGUCCAACUGGCAAAAUAAAACAUCUUAUUUAGGUAGCAGCUAAUGUAGACAGCAAGAGUACCCAACAUAGAGAUCCAACCACACUUCUGACUUAGUAACAGGUGGCUGAGAGUAAAGGUGCUUCUCCGUCCCAAAUGGUUCAAUCAUGUUGAGAGAUUGUUUUGUACUCCUUCCCCAUCAAGUCCUUCCUUAUUUCCAAUUCCUUCUUGAGUUCAUUGCUUUAUAAUCUAAUCAUGCCAUAAAUGGCAUACACAGUUCCUUGAAAUUAUACUACAAGGGGGUGUAUGUGCUAGCUCACAACAUGAAAAAAAAAAGUCUCCUCUAAUUUGUUUCCAUAUUGCAGACAUACAUAUUCUCUAACUACCCUGCAGGUUUUCCUGCAAGCAUUUUACCAUUACUUUUACAUAAUCAAACAAUAACUGUUCGAAUAUACGAGGGAUUCCCUUAUGCUGUACUUCAAAUAAGCACCAAAGGCUUUUUCUUAUUCUGUUUUUAUAGGACUAUUUUCUGUCACUUCUAAAAGAUCUUUAAACACGAACUAUGUGGGGGCAGAGGUUUUUUUUUUUAAGUUUCGCCCUAAGAUACAAAGAACAAAACAUAACCAGAAAGAAGGAGACAGCAGAUUAUGAAUGCGCCUCUCAGCUGGACUGCCAUCCUCACAGGUCGAUAUCUCACAGGUCUAUAGGGGUGCUGGCUUGGCCCAGUUCAUCCUCUGACUUGGAUCUGUCCUGCUGGUCCUGAUGGCACUGCUGCAGGCUGUUGAGGAAGACCACCUCAAUAUGCUCCCGGUUGGCUUUUGAGACAAUCCACAUCUGUGUUGGUGAUCUUUGCCAGCAGCUCAGUCAGGGCAUUGCAAGGGAGUGAGCUCACUUCCUCAUGUUGCUGAAGUCCACAGAUAGCUGCUCCUACACUUCCAGUUGCAACCAUUGAUGGCGGGUACAUUGCAUACAGAGCAUUGAAGUUCUGGACUUGCUUGCAGAUUGGAGACAGCUUCUCCCGCUGCUGGGGCAGCUUGUGCAAGAUGUACUAAAUGAAGUCAUGAGGCGUGACAGCUGCCAGGUUCCACUUCAACUUUCCCAACACCACCAGUUCCCACUCCAGCAGCUCCUGAGGCUUGAUGGAGUUGUCGGUAUAAAUGCACAGCUUUUUGGCAGUCAGUGGGCUGGACUCUUUGAGCCUGGAGGCCAGGAACAUGCAGACAGCACCCAGGAGUUGCAGAUGGGACUUUGAAGUUGGGAUCCUGGCGAAGAAACAGUCCAGGUGCACAUCAUAGACAAUGUCAUCGUCUUGGACGAAGAAACUGUGAUCCUCAGCCAAGAUGCCCUCCUGAGAAUCUCUAUCUCACUGGACUCAAACCUGAGGCCACAGAAACGUUGUCACUUCAUCCAUCCCCAGUGGCAGCUCCUUCACCUGAAUGGGACAUUCCUCAAUAUGAAUGAACCAGACAUGGAACCGUGUGUGGACAGCAGGGUGUACAACAGAAGCUCCUUCCUCUCCACCAUCGUGACUG